rnacentral:rRNA from 1 species
UCGGGAAUUUUGGGCAAUGGGCGAAAGCCUGACCCAGCAACGCCGCGUGAAGGAUGAAGUAUUUCGGUAUGUAAACUUCGAAAGAAUAGGAAGAAUAAAUGACGGUACUAUUUAUAAGGUCCGGCUAACUACGUGCCAGCAGCCGCGGUAAUACGUAGGGACCAAGCGUUGUUCGGAUUUACUGGGCGUAAAGGGCGCGUAGGCGGCAAUUCAAGUCAUCUGUGAAAUCUCCGGGCUUAACUCGGAACGGUCAGAUGAUACUGCUUUGCUAGAGUGCAGAAGGGGCAAUCGGAAUUCUUGGUGUAGCGGUGAAAUGCGUAGAUAUCAAGAGGAACACCUGAGGUGAAGACGGGUUGCUGGGCUGACACUGACGCUGAGGCGCGAAAGCCAGGGGAGCAAACGGGAUUAGAUACCCCAGUAGUCCCUGAG